ensembl:lncRNA
AGCAGGGCGGCGUGGGGCGGCGUCGGCCCCGCCGCGCCUCCCCCGUCGGCGACCCCAGCGAGCGGCGGUGGUACAGUCCGAGACGGCCCCGGGCUAUAAAUAGCGCCAGGCGCAUGGCUCUUCGGGAGGCGCUGAGAUUCCGGGCCCGGCGACCGCGGGGAGCGGGUGCCUCUUAGGAACCGGGUUGCUGGCCUCCUCUUUGCCUUUUGGGGGUUCUUUUUGUAAUAGCAGCAGAAAAAGCGAGCUGGCUUGGAGGGAGUCCGCCCAGCGAUCCGAGUGCGCAUUGAUCAGUGUGGAGAGAAAAAAAGCUACAUAAAUAUAUAUUAUGUGGAUGAAUCUAUAGACAAGAGCUGUCUUGCGCGCGCUCUCUGUCUCUCCGUCUCUCUGCUUUUUUCCUCCUCGCAUCCCCAACCUGCCAGAGCAGCCCCAAACCGUCGCCCUCCCGCACAGCGUCUACCGCUACCCGAGCCACCUGGGACUGGGGAGUAGUUGGGCCGCGCUGGGGGGACGGGGCGUAGAGAUUCUGGGCCCGACCCGCCUGCGAAGACUGGAGAAAUGAGACCCGGCUUCCUGAAAAUCGAGACCAAGCCCGUUUGGUACAACCACAACGCGGAGCUCUCCAGCGCUGGGAAGAGGCCCAAGGAGGCCCCGAGGUUCGCAGCCCCAGGCCCCCAGCCCACCCGGGACACCUCUCCCUGAGGAUCCAGGGCCCAAACCAAACAGCAAGUACAAUUCUGAGAACUGUGGAACUUCCUCCUUUCAUUUUAAGCUUCUCCUGCCUUUGCUUGAUGGAAUCGUGUAUCAGAAGGCUUCUGUGGUCUGUUUCCCACUCCCCAGGCCCGGGGACGCUGGAGGAUGGUCCUGCAGCCUAGUCGCUUUGUGAGCCCAGCCUGGGCACAGCGCGGCAGCGUGUCUGACACAGCAGCAAGACCACCAGUGCCACCGAGGACCCACAGUGAAGUCAGCUUCCUCAAAGUCUGCUUCAAACAUUUAUAAGACGAAAAAACAAAGAUUUCCCUCUGGGGUGGCUUUCAAAACUAGUUUUGAUCAUUUGAAGAGUAAAUCCUUAGCUACUUAGAAAGCUUGACAAUCUAAAAUGAUUCAUUUGUCAAAUAUUUAGGUUAGUUGAGAUUUAGCAUUUACUAGUAUGUAAAGGAGGCUUGACUGGAAACUGAUCAGACAGAUUUUGUGUGUAAUGUUCCAAUGUACUUCAGCCGCUUUCGUCACUGAUGGGCACACCCCUCAACAUAGCACCCACCCUCCUGUGUGUGCGCACGUGUGUGUGCACGUGCUUGUCAGGGACGCACGUGUGAGUGCAUCCUCCUCAUUGGGGUUUAUUGUAUUUUCUUUGUGUUGCUAAUGCUUUUGGCCUCUGGGGGUGCUCUAUAUAUACAGAUGCAGAAUUUGAGAAACACAGGAUUUUCAACCUGAAAGGAACCUUAGGCAUCUUCUAAUCCACUUGUCUCAUUUUGCACAUACGGCAAUUAAUGUCCAAAGAGGUGAAGGGAUUUGCUGGGGUCGGGGUGGGGGGUGUCAGAUGUAGAACCCAGGUCUCUCUCUUUCUCUCUCUCUCUCUCACAUGCACACACUCACUCAUGCUGUAGUAAGAGAGGGCUAUUUCCUCAUUGUUCACAGCAUCUCUUUGUUUCUCUCUCUCUCUCCCUUGUGCUUCUUUUUUUGCCAUCAGUCUGUCUGUCUUUCCUCCUCCCCUCGCUGCUCUGCGUUCCUGGGCCGGGAGCUGAGGUGGCAUAGGCAGUGGAGAUGCUGGCUCCCAGGAAGGCUGCCGCAGCAGCUGGCAAGGCCAGUGCCCACCAGUAGUGGGGAAGUGGAGGCACAGCGUGUUCUCUGCUUCCCUGUCAGCUGUGAGCCUAGGGCAGCAAUGCCUCAGUCCUGGGGGAAGAGGCACAGAGGAAGGAGGGUGGGUUGGCCCCGCUGUUAUGCAAUCUGUUUUCAGCCUGAUCCUCUUUCCUUGGCUCCCUCCCCUGGGAGCUGACGUUCUCUUAGGGAGAGGCAACCGGUUACCUCCUGGCCAUUCCUCCUUCUUGAGUCCUUUUCUCUAGCCUGAGCCACGUGACCUCCAGUUCAGAUACCCCUUUCUGGAAGAUGUAUGUGCUCCUUGACUCAUGUCCGAGAGACACGGGAGAGUGCUCCCUUCUCAUCCUGAUAUCCUGAUGCUGAAGUCUGGCUCCCAAUUCUAAGCAGACGGUAGAAAUGGCUGUUUGGCUGUGUCUCAUUUUCCAGAAAGGCAUGGAAUCUCAGAUUUGGAAUGGAGUUUAGAGGUCAUCUCUCUUACUCCCACAGCUGUUGGAGGAAUCCAUCCUCUGGCAUCCCUCAAGUUUGUCCAGUCUGCCUAACCCCCUCCAGUGAUGGGCCAGUUCCUUUAAACAGUCCUGCUAUCAUGCAUUUCUCUUAAGGCGCAGCCUUGUCUCCUUGCUUUUCCCACCAAAGGUCCUGCAGUAGGUGGCUUCCCCUGUUUUCUCAACUUCUUUGUUUCUCCUUUGUUCUAUAAUACGCUUAAAUCUGGCUUUUGCCUCUCCCACUUUACUACCAAAAUUAUCCUUAGUAAAGUCAUCAGUGGUUUCCUUCGCCAAAUCCAGCAGCUAUUUCUUUAGUCUUUGUUUAAAUGCUAUUAACCACUUCGUUGAAAUAUCUUCUUUCUCUUUCGAGAAAUGCAUUGUUCUCUCUUUGUUCUCCCACUACUUCCCACUAGCCCUCUCGACUGGGUCCUUUCUCUGUCCAGUCUUUAAAUACUGGGCUUACCCCAGUCUCACUCUUGAAUUUUUCUUCUUUUUAUGCUUCACACUCUCCUAGGGUCACCACAUUCUUGCCCAGGAGCCUAAUCCCCCAUCAAAUGCUGGUGGUCCCAAUUGAACGUGUCCAGUCCCCUCUGCCUUCCUACGCUCUGCCACAUCUUCGCCUCCUCCCCACCAGGCCCUCAUUCUGUCCUACUUACACUAUUGCCGUAGUCUUCCAGCUGGUCUCUUUGCCCUUGACCUCACCAUCUCUGACCCACAUGCACUUAACCCUGCACACAGGAUGAAUUUUCUAAAACUUAGGUCUGGUCAUGCCAACUCCCUCCUUCAAAGCCUUCCCAUUGCCUCCAGGAUAGAACCCAAUCUUGUUGGCCUGGGAUUCCAGGAUCCUCAUACCCUAUCCUGUUUCCUCUGCUUCCCCAUCUAAGUCUGUCUUCUGGCACCUCUUCUUCCCCCUGUCCUGGGUCCCCGGCCCUAACUGGUACCAGUCUCAUCCUCGCUCUCCCAGCUCCCACUAAGUUCUACAGUCCCACGAUCUCGCUCACUCAGGGCCUGCUCCCCACUCUGGAAUCUUCGCUCCUUUCUUUUCCUAGCUAACUGCUACUCAGUUUUCACAUCUCCCCUUGAGCAUCACUGCUUCAGGGAAGUCUUAGUUGCCUGACUCCACAGACUAAGGUAGGUGACCCAUUGCACACUCCCAAGAUACUCAGUCCUUUUUAUAGCCAUCUGCAAGACUGUCAUGAUUUAAUUAGUUACUGGUUGAUUCCUCCCGCACCCCCAGCCUCAGUAGACUGUACAUUCCUCCAGGUCACGACGACUGUGCCUUGUUGUUCCCUCUCCACCCCAGUGCCUGUGUACACCAUAAGCUCUUGUCUGAUUGUGUGAUCGGAGAGCUUUGAAUAUGCCCACCUGAGUAGGAUCUUGAUCCUAUAACCGGGCAAUAGAGGCACAAGGUUAUCCCCACUACGACAGUGACCUGAUGAAAAUUUGGGUUUCAGGAAGAUUGGCUGCAGAGCUUUACACAGGACAAGGCGGCAGCAGCAGCAGGGACUGGGGCCUGGCAGCGGUACAGGCAUGAGGUGCGGGUCUGAGAUGAGUGACUUUCCUCUCCCAGCCCAUAUGCUUCCGAUGGAGAGUCCAGGAGAUAGAGGCAAUUUGCGCACGAUUGAAAAUGAACAGAAUCCAGGAGUAGGCUUAUGAUAAGCUCAGCACACGAUUGUGGAAUGACCUUACCUUAUUGUGGGAAGGUUUUCUCUCACUUUCUUCUCUUUCUGAAUCUGUUCUUAUUUCAUUCCUUGGUCCCAUCGCCUCCUCUUCCAAGAAUGGAAUCCCGAAGAAGAUGCUCUCUGUUUGGAAGAAUGUUCCUAUCUGAUUGGCUGCUAAUUUGUUAAUAUUUUUGUUAUUCUCCACAAUACAUGCACAACUUUCAGGUAUCGCAUCUGGAGGCAUGAACCCCAGAGAAGAAUAAAAUUGUAGUUGGAAGAAUCCAAAAGUGGCUGGGGUUCUGAGGUUCAGACCAGCUAAACUGAUAGCUUUUCUCAACUCUAAUUUCUGUGAUAGGGACAAGGAGCGCCUGUCACAGCUUUCUCACCCUGGGCCCGUGAUCUCCAGCCCAGUAACAAGUUAGGACACUGCUUUUCUGCUCUUUGUUAUACUGGGUUCUGCCCCAUCUCUCUAAAGCAAUCUUAUAAAUCAUUGAUGAGAAUAUUUCUAUUUUUAUCUUAAACAUCCUAGCCAAGAAAGCCUUAUGAAUACUUUCCAAAUCAAGUGCUGGCAUUGCACGAUGCUUCCUCAUUGAUGGCAGCCCCAUUUCAUUGUUUUUUUGUCACUUCUUGGCUCUGCCAUCCAUGUCAGCAAUGCCAAGUCUCAGCUUGGGGGUGGGGGCUGACCCUGAUGCAGAAGCUUCUGUGGUGUCCCUUUCAUGGGCAGGAUCUCCUUUCCUUCCUUCUUCCCCGUGGCUGCCCCCCAAAACCUCCAUCUUAAACGUUUUUUUUUCUUGGUGAGGAAGAUUGACCAUGAGCUAACAUCUGUGCCAGUCUUCCUCUAUUUUGUAUGUGGGAUGCUACCAUAGCAUGGUUGCAUGAGCAGUGUGUAGGUCCACACCUGGGAUCUGAACUGGUGAACUCCCAGCCACUGAAGUGGAGUGUGUGAACUUAACCACUAUGCCACUAGCCCAGCCACACCAUCUUAAACUUUUCAACCUUGAAAUGAAGUUAUGACUGAUAUUUAUUCUCAGUAAGGUUUUCUCCUGUUGUCCAUCCUGCCUCUGAACCACCACCCCUCCAUCCUGAUCAUCAUCCAUGCUGUGCAUAGGAACUCAACUCACUUGAGUACUAACCUACAUUUGAAGGCAUGAAGUUUUAGUAUUAAAAAACACGCUCUCCUGUUGUGCAUUCCCAACUCCACUAGUUCAUGAGGACCAUGUCUCUCUUGUUCAUCACUGUAUUCUGGGCAUUAGUACAGUGCCUGGCACAUGGUAAGCACUCAACAAAUAUUUGUUGAAUAAUAAAUGAAUAAAUGAGAGGCCUAAAGGAUUAGAAACCCUGCACACUGGGUCUCCUCCAUCCCCUAGAACCAUCUGGACCUGGCACCCUAAGAUGGUUACUACAGGGUUUUCUCAGGCUCAUUCUUAGUCUCCACUGAGAAAGCAAGAUGAUUCAAACAUGUCUUUCCUAAUUACCCUCAAUUUGUUUGGAUUUUUCUUUUACUUUGAUUUUUCCUCAGCAUUCCUGUUAAUAAUUUACAUUACUUGUCCCUGCUUACGUUGUUUAGCUUGAUUCUUUCAACUGAGUAAGUCUUGUAUUCCUGACCAGAACAGAAAUACCUGGAGGGAGGCGCUAUAUCCAUUUACUUUAUAGCCCAACUGUAAGACUUGACACAAGGGGUGUUUAAUAAAUGGUUUCCAACUGGCUGAUGGAGUGAAUGGGUCUCAAACCCAACAUCUACUUUUAUUUUUAACAUUAGAGGUUAGAGUCUAAGCCCAGGAGGGAAUGCAGGGUAUACUUUCAAUCCUCUUUGUCGUGACUUGCAUAGUGCCUCUGUCUAAUCGCACAAAGUAUUAUGGAUUUAUGUAGUCUGUUUAAUUGUGUGGGUACAUAAUAGGAAAAAUGUUAGGUAAAUCAAAAUUAUCCGGGAUACUGGGUGAUUUCUAGUCUGUCUUUGCAAUAAUUAGAUGCUUCAGAGAAUUUAUUCCUUGAAAUUUUGAUGAUUGUUUCAAUAACAUACAUUCUUUGUUGUGGUUUACGUGCCAAUGGGGAAUGAUGAUCCAGGAACUCUGGAACUGUCAGUCCAAUACAGAUUGGAUUGAAGCCCGCCAUGAUCAAUGAUGGGGCUCACUGCCAUGAUUGCCAUACUCCCUGCCCCAAGGAGCUCACAGGGCUGGGGGUUGCAGAUGUAUGCCUGUGGUUCAAGGCAAAUAUUGUAAAUAUUUGAACACAUAGAGAAGGAUGAAGUUACUUUUCAUCAGGAAACUGAUGAACAACUGAUGUAAAAGUCAGUAUUCGAAUCGAGUGUUGAAGGAGAAGUCUAAUCUUAUCAGCCAUGACUGUGCCUAAUUCCUAGUAGGGGCUCCAUGAAGGUUUGCUGGCAGCCUGAGAGAAGACAGUGGUCUUCUAGGAGGAGGGAAAGAGUGAGAAACAGUAGAGUGGAGAGAGAAAGGCUCAUUUGGGAUGCAGUGAGUUGUGUUCUGGGCCUGAAGCUGAAGCCUGGGGUGUCUGAGCCAGUAGCUGAAGAUUAAUCUGGUUGGUUGGUUGGAGGCUGAGUAAGAAAGUCCUUGAGUUGAACUGAGGAUUUUAGACUUCAGUCAGAAGGCAACGGGAGUCUCCGAAUUGUCAGAGCAGGAUCUGGGCUGUGCUUCAGUGAGGUUAGGCUGCACUGGUGAGAGGGCUGUGUUGGAUGGAAGGGGCUGAGAGCAGGGGAAUCCUUGUGAGGCAGUUGCAGGGGACUGGAUGGGGGUAAGCAGGGUCAUGAACUCCAGCAGUAGCUGUGGGUGGCAGAGGGGCUUUGUAAAGACAGAAUCUGCAGGAGUGGGAGCUGCCUGCAGGAUGGGCGGCUUGUCCGUGCAGCCUCUGUCUCUCUCUUCUCCCAUCACCCUCCAUUCCGUAAUGUCACCUCCUUCAGGAGUCUGGCAUCUGCAUCUCCCACCCCACAGGGAGGCUCUUGUUCAUGGAGAGAAUUGACUUUAGAAAGGGGUGUGUGAAUUUAUUAAGAUCUCUGUUUAUCUAUAAGUAGUUAUUUAAUGCCUUCCUAUGGUCCAAAAGGGUUUGAGUAAGAUAGUGUGAAUGUAUAUAAACAAGAUUUCCCACCAAAUGGGACCUGCAGUUUCAGCCUGAUUUCUUGUUCAACAGCACAGUUGAGAGUAAGAGCUUUGGGGUGGACAGUGGGUUUGAAUCCUGACUCUUCCAGGGGCCAGCUGCGUGACAGUCAGCAAGUUACUUGUCUGCUCUGAGUCUGGGUCCUUACCUGUGCAGUUGGGAGGCGCAUAACCUACCUCCCAGUUUGUUGUGUGGAUUAAAUGAGAUCAGACAUGUCAGAUGUCAUAGCCAUAGGAAGCACUCAAAUGGAGAGUCAAUAUCGUAAGACUCCUUACUCACUGUGAAUAUGAUUACUCUUUUUGGCAUCAGUAGUCAGGUUGGGAGGGUCUCUCCAUGUGGGUGUCCUACCUCCCUUAGCAAGGAAGCUCUUGCUAGUUUAUCCUGUAUGUGGCCACCUACCUCACUGAUGAGAUAAAGAUGCACAUAUAUUUCCCCAAGGCAUGACUUCCCUUCUCUUUCCUGAUAUUCUCCUGUAUACAGUUCUGCCCAUUUUGACAAACUGGUAUGGGGGAAAUACCAGUAGGUGAUAACGGUGCUAGCGUUUCCAUUUAGGACUCAUUCAUACAGGUGCACCCUGUAAAGACUUGGAAUACAAAAUAAGACUGACCUUUGUUCUCAGAGACUGACUGGGGUGGGAAGAGGAAGCAUGGGCCUCUACAUAGAUAAUCACAGAACAGUGAAGCAGGUGAUACAGAUGGAUGGAUGCAGUGCUGUGGGAGCAGCCCAGGCCAGGUAUGAACUGAGUCAAGAAGGAGUAGGAGUCCACCUGGCAGAGAAGGGAGGGAGGCGUUCAGGCCAGCGGGAGGAUCGGCGAUCUGGGGAGGACAGUGUGUUGGGGAAUGUUGGGAAACCCCCAGGUGGCUCAGUAAAACCAGACUGUGGAGUUUUUUCCUGAAGGAGACAAGAGAGAACAAGUAUUGGAGAGGAUGUGGGGAAAAGGGACUCCUGUGCACUAUCGGUGGGAAUGUAAAUGGGUACAGUUACUAUGGAAAACAGUAUAGAGUUUCCUCAAAAAAUUAAAAAUAGAGCUAUCAUAUGAUCCAGCAAUUCCACUCCUUGGUAUAUACUUGAAUGAAAUGAUAAUGGAAUAUUGAAGAGAUAUCUGUAUUCCCAUGUUCAAUGCAGCAUUAUUCACAAUAGCCAAGAUAUGGAAACAACCUAAAUGCCCAUCAAUGGAUGCAUGGAUAAAGAUGAUGUGGUAUGUAUACACAAUGGAGUAUUAUUCAGCCACGAGAAAGAAGGAAGAAGUCCUGGAGAUCUCAUGCACAGUAUGGUGAAUAAAGACAACAACAUUUUAUUGUAAUCAUCAAACGUGCUGAGAGACUAGAUCUUAAUUACUCCCAUGCCAAAAAAGAACUGAUAAUUCUGUGACAUGAUAGAGACGCUAACUAUUGCUACAGGGAAAUCACGUUACAAUAUAUAAAUGUAUCAAUUUAACAUGUUGUACACCUUAACUUUACACAGUGUUACAUAUAUUUCAAUAAAGAAAAAACUAUAUCAAUUCAAAAAAAAGAAGACUGUGGAGUUUCUAAUGGGGCAUCUGUGUAUCAGAAAGGGUCUAAUAAUGGAAAAAAGGCAGUGGGGCAGGGGAACUGAGGUGCUCCUCAGAUCACUCCCAGAUCAUUACCAGUUUCUCCUCUGACUGGUCUUUACAACCAAGCUAUGUACUAUAUUUCCUGGUAUGAAAUGAAAAUGAAAAAUGAAGAACUUCUUUUAUUUUACCAGAUUUAUAUUCAGAGUCUUAAUUUUCUUUUAUCCCUUUUUGCCUCUGGAGAGGGAUAUUCAGUGUCAAAGAAUUUCUGGCUUCAUCAGCUCAGAGCAUCACCUCCAGCCCCAUCUCUUCCCCUUGGCAGAGGGUGAACAACCGUCCUGAGUGAACCUGGGCAACCUGUCCCCACGCCUCCCUGAGGAUCUCUGAGGGGCCGGGUGCUCUUAAUACGUGCUGCCACCACUAGCACUACUUCAGGGUGAUGGUGGGAGGCAGCCCCAGCACGGCCAUCUGAGAGGUGCUUGAAGAAUGGAUGGGGGGAGGCACUGUGCAGGC